CCUACGGGAGGCAGCAGUGGGGAAUAUUGGACAAUGGGGGGAACCCUGAUCCAGCGACGCCGCGUGAGUGAAGAAGUAUUUCGGUAUGUAAAGCUCUAUCAGCAGGGAAGAAAGAAAUGACGGUACCUUUCUAAGAAGCCCCGGCUAACUACGUGCCAGCAGCCGCGGUAAUCCGAAGGGGGCAAGCGUUAUCCGGAUUUACUGGGUGUAAAGGGAGCGUAGACGGCGAUGCAAGUCUGAAGUGAAAGGCGGGGGACCAACCCCCGGACUGCUUUGGACACUGUAGGGCUGGAGUGCAGGAGAGGUAAGUGGAAUGCAUAGUGUAGCGGUGAAAUGCGUAGAUAUUAGGAGGAACACCAGUGGCGAAGGCGGCUUACUGGACUGUAACUGACGUUGAGGCUCGAAAGCGUGGGGAGCAAACAGGAUUAGAUACCCCGGUAGUC
rnacentral:rRNA from 1 species